rnacentral:lncRNA from 1 species
AGUUUUUGUUGUUUUGUCACUCCAUUUAUAUAGCAAACAAAGCAACCAAUUAAAGGAGACAAGAAGAAUAUUUGUGUUAUUAAUUUAUGUUACCAAUUUCUAAACAAACAGAUUUAGAUAGAAAUAGAUAAGAAUCUCUUGAGUGUUAGUCUAAUUAAAGCAAAAGAUUUGUUAGUAGCAACAAAAAAGUGAUUUGCACAUAACAGAAAAUUGUUUGCUUACAUUCUAAAUUAUAAUUUUUCUGUGUAUAUAAAAACACUGUAUGCAUGGUUAAUCUAAAAUGAAGAAUGAUCUUCCAAUCAAAUUGAUGAUGUUGAGAAAAGGCUUUCCAUCCUUGUUUUCAUCUCUUCAUUCCAUCCUUGUUUUCAUCUCUUCACUUCUAGUUCCAUAAGCAAUUAAUCAGCUUCUUCUACAAUAAGCUUAAUGCUGCAUAAAAUAAAAUGAAAUUACAAGAAUGUU